ACUCAAAGGAAUUGACGGGGACCCGCACAAGCAGCGGAGCAUGUGGUUUAAUUCGACGCAACGCGAAGAACCUUACCUGGGCUUGACAUGUUCCUGACCGCUGUGGAAACACAGCUUCCCUUCGGGGCAGGAUCACAGGUGGUGCAUGGCUGUCGUCAGCUCGUGUCGUGAGAUGUUGGGUUAAGUCCCGCAACGAGCGCAACCCCCGUCGCAUGUUGCCAGCAUUUAGUUGGGGACUCAUGUGAGACUGCCGGUGACAAACCGGAGGAAGGUGGGGAUGACGUCAAGUCAUCAUGCCCCUUAUGUCCAGGGCUACACACGUGCUACAUUGGCGCAUACAGAGGGCUGCGAUACCGUGAGGUGGAGCGAAUCCCAAAAAGUGCGUCUCGGUUCGGAUUGCAGGCUGAAACCCGCCUGCAUGAAGGCGGAGUUGCUAGUAAUCGUGGAUCAGCAAUGCCACGGUGAAUACGUUCCCGGGUCUUGUACACACCGCCCGU
rnacentral:rRNA from 1 species